AGUCAGACCCUUAACCGAGCCAACCAGGAGGCCCUGACAAAAUAGACUUUACAUCAAAAAAAGCUUACAGAAGAUAAAGACAGAUGUUGUAUAUUACAGGGUUCAAUACAGUCAGAAGACAUAACAAUUAUGAGUAUCUAUACCUAAUGACAGGUCAUCAAAAUAUAUGAAGCAAAAACUGACAGGACUGAAGGGAGAAAAAGACAGUUGCACAAUAAUAGUUGGAGAUUUCAAUACCCUGUUCUUGAUAAUGAAUAGAACAGCCAGAUGGAAGAUAAGUAAGAAAGCACAGGACUUGAACACACAAUAAGCCAACUGGAUCUAACAGACUUACAUGGAGUACUCUAUCCAAGAAUAAUAGCAUUGUGUGUUCUUCUCAAAGGCACUUGGGACAUUUUUUUCAGGAGAAGCUGUAUUGAAACUAGACAGAGAACUUCUAAAACUCAACAACUAAACAGCAACUCAAUUCAAAACUGGGCAAAGGACUCGAAUAGACAUUUCUUCAAAGAAGAUAUACCGAUGGCCAAGAAGCACGUGCUAUGCUCAAUACCACUGAUCAUCAGGGAAAUGGAAAUCAAAGCUACAAUGAGACACCACUUCACAGCCAUCAAGAUGGCCACUAUCCAAACAACAGAAAAUAACAAGUGUUGGGGAGGGUGUGGACAGACAGAAACCUUUGCUUACUCUUAUGGGGAUGUAAAAACGGUACCGCUGCUGUAGGAAACGGUGUGGUGGUUCCCCCAAAAUGUAAAAGUAGAAUUACUAUGUGAUCUGACAAUUCCACUUCUGAUUAUGUACUCAAAAGAAAUGAAAGCAGGGUCUUGAAGAGAUAUUUAUAUGCCCAUGUUGAUAGCCAUAUUAUUCACAAGAGCUUCAACGUGGAUGAAUGGACGGGCAAAAUGCGGCACACGCAUACUAUGGCAUAUUAUUUGGUCUUCAAAAAGAAGAAAAUCCUGACAUAGCCUACACCACGGAAGAACCUUGAAGACAUUAUGCCGGGUGAAAUAAGCCAGUCACAAAAAAGACCAGAUGAGUCCACUUACAUGAGACAUGAGAUACUUAGCCAAAACCGUCGAGACAGAGAGUAGGACGGAGGGUGCCAGGGGCUUGGGUGAGGGAUGAAUGGGGAGCUCAUGUUUCAUGGGUACAGAGCUUUGGUUUUACAAAAUGAGACGAGUUCUGGGGAUGGAUGAUGGUGACGGCUGCACAACGUCACAAGCGUGUUUAACGCCACUGAACUAUACACUCAAAAGUGGUUAAAAUCGUAAGAGUUUAUGUGACGCAAACAUAAGGUGUUACGUUUGUUUUGUCAUAAUAAAAAAAGAAAAGACAAAGAGACAUCGUAAGAGUUUAUGUGACGCAAACAUAAUGUGUUACGUUUGUUUUGUCACAAUAAAAAAAGAAAAGAGAAAGACAGGGCGAAUUCUGCAAUUUAGGCAAUUGUGCUUAGGAAUAUUCCUCAGGUCCCAGAGGGAACAUUGGGUCACCUGAGUUGGCUCCACACACUUUCUGGGAUUCAGGAGAUCUGAGUGCCUAUGCUGGUGCCUUGGCGAAUCUCUAAGCUUUGACUUCUCCAACUAUAAACUAGGAAUAACAGGUCUCCGGGGUCAGUGGGGCUUCAAUGGAUACAAAGCAACUAGUAUAGUGUCUGGUAAGAAGUAGGCACUCAACAGAAUAGUGGCUAACGACAACAAUAAAACACUCCGUGAAAUCUGGGGGGCCCUUCUGGAUUUCCAUUUGUUGUAACCAUGUAUCCUGCAUACGACCUGAUUUUUGUGCGAAGAAAGAAGGGCCUCAGGUCUCUCCUUAGAAGACAGCUCCUGGCGUGGUCAGGAACAUGAAAAGUUCUCCACUUGGUCCCUAAUGUGGUCUCUGAGCGGGGGUCAGAAGGGUCUUUCUGAGAUUUCAAUGGUAAAACAGAUCGUACUCACCCAGCGAUGCUGGGUCUGUGCCCACUUUAUGGAAUGCCCUCACUGGGGCCUCUUGCUGCUGGUUCCUUUGGGUCAGUCUGUGAUGGGGAAGGUCAAGACCCCAGAAUUUUGCCCUUGUUGAUUUCUGUCUUCGCACUAGACAUCACCGACUCCAGCCUUGCUUUAUAAACAGAGAGAGGCAGAGAGGUAGGGGGGUGGCAGAGCCAGAAUCUGAAUCUUUGUCUUAUGUGUAGCACAGAGAACGGAAGGCACACUCGGACGACAAUUUGAAGACACAGCGUAAGGCUGAGUGAAUGUAUGGAAGGGUGGGCAGUGUGAAGAGAACCAAUAGGUGGUGAGAAGUCCAAAGACUAGUGGGAAUUCUUACCCUAUGCUUGAAGGGCCAAACGAAUAAAUAUCGCCCAAUCCCCGUUGCGAGCUGAAGAUAGAAGGACCCAGCUGCUGCUAGAACUUCCACAGGGCAGGAGGAGAGCAGGAACAGAAGUCCUCUGACCUCCUGCCAGUGCCUGAACCCAACAAGAAGAGGGAGAAGCUGGAGUCCAGCUGACCUAGCCAAUAGGUGUCAGCUUCCUGGUUCUCACUUGAUCAAGAAGACGGGAAAGUUUAUCAACCAGCCUCAGGUUACUUUGAUGACUCCCCUUCUAACUAACUCCCUUACUUAUUUGUGAUGGGAUUUGUUUGGUUGCCACCCUUAGGAGAUAAAUUCUUGCCCUUUUUUCAACACAGAUGUUUUGGUUGAUUGUGGUUUCUACGGUUUGCAUGCUUCCUGUGACCUACUAAAAUAGAUCAGCGAGUUCUAGGAUUUUACAUGUUCAGUAUGGGUUAAAAACAGUGAUCUCGACGAAUGUGAUACCCAUGGAAAAAGCACCGUUAUACAUUCCUACAUGCUCUGCUCAUAUUUCUAGGGUAAAAAUAACACAAAUUAUUUCCACUGUUUUUGACUCAAGUCACAAAGUAACAUGACAGCAAGAAAGCCUGGAAACUGCAAAUGGCUUUUGGAAAGCCAAAGUGUCAGGUGCUGGUGGCAUGAGAAGAAACCCGCAAAUCUGGAUGUGGCAGAGAUUCUGAUUGGAGGACGUGACUGAGGCCUCCCUCUGGAUGGGCGGUGGGUGAUGGAAGAUAGAAAGACCCUUCCCAAGUAUGGCUAGUUGAAGAUGUGCCCAACCGCUGCUGGCUUUAUAAGAACCAUAAAUAAUACUUGGUGGUGAGGAAAGAGCAAGUGUGGAGAGGACAACUCAUUUGUAAUGCAGUGCAGGUAUACAUCCAUAUAAAGAUAUAGUAAGUGUUAUGUAUAUAAUAUAUUAUAUAUCUAUUUAAAGUAAUGCAUGCUAAAAGCAAAUGUUAGUUCUUUGAAAAGAUAACAAAGUUGACAAAACCCUAGCUGUACUAAGAAAAAAUGAAAACACAUAAAUAACUAAAAUCAGAUGAAAGUGGGGAUAUUACUUGUGAAUUUAUAGAAAUAAAAAAGAUUGUAAGAGAAUAUCAUAUACGAUGUUCCACCAACAAAUUAAGUAACACGGACAAAUGAAAUGAAACGGAAAAAUCCCUAGAAAAACACAAACUGCCAAAAACUGCCUCAAGAAGAAAUAGAAAAUCUGAAAAGAUCUGUAUAAAAUAAAGAGAUUAAACCAGAAAUCAAAAAUCUCCCAACAGAUAAAUGCCCAGGACUGAGUGGCUUCAUUGGUGAGUUCUACCAAACCUUUAAAGAAAAACUAACAUCAGUCUUUCUCCAACUGUUCCUAAAAAUAGAAAAAGGGGGAUAUUUCCUAACUCAUUCUAUGAAAUCGGAAUUGACGUGCUAGCAAAACCAGACAAAGACACCACAAGAAAACUGCAGACCAAUAUCCUUUUUGGAUGUAGACGUGAAUAUAUUUUUUCUUCACUCUGUUAAUAUCAGCAAGGUUGCCAAGACCACCAACUGGAGAAAGAACAUUCUCUUCAACAAAUGGUGCUGAGACAACUGAAUAUCCACAUGCGAGAGAAUGGAGUUGGAUCCCUUCCUCACAUCAUAUAUAAAAAUGAACUCAAAGUGGAUCAAUGAUGUAAAUAUAAGAGCCAAAACAAUAUAAUUCUUAGAAGAAAAUAUAGAGGUGAAUCUUUAUGA